rnacentral:snRNA from 2 species
GCCUACGGACAUUUGGUCAAUUUGAAACGAUACAGAGAAGAGUAGCGUGGCCUCUGCACUGUGGAUGACUCGCUCGAGCGAUGAGAAGCUACCAAUUGAA